UAUUGUAAAAUUAUAUAGUAAAUGAUAUUGUAAAAUUAAAUAGUAAAUUCACACGAUGUUCAAAUAAUUCGAAAUAACGAUAGACCAAAAGCUGUUUAAACGAGACACAAGAAUUAAUCGUGCAUUUUAUUAAAAAGUUAAGUACGAAUAAAAGAAAGAAAAAUUUCGAACUUUUUUCGAAAGAACAUACAUUUAUUAUACAACAUACAUACAUUUAUUAUAUAUUGUGUUCUUUCAAACACAAUAAUACCUUCCAUAAAGGAGCACAGCCCAGAUGAGACUUUUUAUAGUUAAACUUUUAACGUACUCAUAGAAACGAAAUUUUUUUUUUUAAAUAGAACUGUUACAUUUUACGACACGUAUAACAUCGAACAUUUACCAACAUAGCGAUGCCAGCGUACAUAUAUAUAUACUGGUGUACUGGUCAUCUUUUUUCCACACGUUUUUAGCUUUUCAGCUGUUUGUGAAUGGGCGCCUAAUCAGCCAAUCAGAAAUGGCCGGUAUUCUAUGAAUCCUUUUCUUCAAUGCUCGAAGAGCUGGAUAUUUAUCCAAAGCUGGUGCCCCAAACAUAUACUCGUAAUUUUCAAGGGCCGCUGCAAAUACGAAGUCCGCCCAUGUCGUCUGAAAAAAGGAUUCUCCUCCAUGCGAUAGUAGCAGAUAUCUGAAACGUAUAUGAAACCAACCGUUACGUUCAUUUGUGUUUUUCCCCCCAAACGAAGAGAAAAUAAGGUGUGAAAGAAGGAGUAGCCUCUCAUAGUUCCUACAAUUUCUUCAUUCUCUUUGCUUUCUUCAAUAUUGCCUCAACAAGUUCCAGUGGUUCACGAUACUUGAAAUAUAUACAAUGUUACCAGCGUGGAAAUUGUCUUGGAAACUUGGAAAAUCUUUCAAGAGGAACAACAUUGCUAACUGAGAUUCGAGAAAGGAAAUUACCAAGAAUGUCGAGAUAUAAACAACCAUUUGUGGAAAGGUCAGGAGAAGCAGAAUUAUCGAAUAAACGUUAUAUAACUCUUAGUGAUUAAGUAAGAGAAGAGAAACGAGAAAAAAGUCUUUUAUCUAGGUCUUAAUAAAGUAUACUAUAUUUAUCUCCAUAUCAAGAAUAACAACAAGAUAUAAACAGUCUUCUAGAAAUUGAACUCUUUGCAUCUUCUAUACAGGUAUCUCAUGAUCAUGUGAUAACACACAGGAAGAAAAAAUAGAGGAAAAAACAGCGUAAAAAAAAGUUGCGUAGGAGUAUCGUCGCACUACAUCAUUCGACAAUUGAUGCACGUCAUGGCGAUCGUCACGGUUUAAAGCAGGCCAUCAAAAACACGUUUGUUAUCGUACGGAAAAAUCUGCGACGUUCCAGCUGUUCAGGUGCAUCGAAUUGUGAAUCAUCGGCGGUACGAAGCAAGGCGAGGGGCGUAAAUAGAGAAAGAAGAGAAGAGAAGGAUUCGCAUAAAUGAUAAAAUAUAAUCGUUCGUUCCUCGUCGAUGGCGGAUGGAUGGCUUUAAUCGUGGACGAUAUCGAUACGAUUAUAUUUUAUACAUUUGAAACAAAUAUAAAAGACGAGCAAAAACCAGA